GGUGCCUCUAUAUUUAUAUCCUUGUCAUCAUUCCAACUGUUUUCUGAUUGGACAUCUAUUACAUGUAUGUGUAUACACUGUACAUAUAUCUUAUGUAUGUGUAAAGUACAUUACACACUUUACACAUGCUGUCCCUAACCCAAUGAGCAAACUGGUGUCACCAUAUUCAGAAGGAUUAAGCCAAUUGCCAAAGGACAAAGAUGGUGUGAAAAUACCCUUGAAACCUGAGCUUCCUUUACUGCAAGACCAGUUCUCUUUUCCAUAUGCCAGCCCCCGCCUCUCAGCCAUGCAUCUGAAGCCAGAAACUGUCUAUCACACCCAGGUAUCAGACAUAAGCCAUUUCAUACAUCUUCUCCUUUUCAAAACAGAAAUCAAACAAAUGGCACGUGCGGCUUUGGCUGGGUCAUUUCAGCAGUCAAUCGUCAAAUCAAGGAUACUCCACAAAUUCCACUGGAGACUUUGUCAGUUGCUCGAGUCCUUUGGUUUCCACGAAGGAAGACAUUUCAAAACUUCUAUUUCUUUCUGAGUUAACGACAACAAAAAAGGGGUAGCAGGUUUAAAAUGAACUGUGACGCUUUUGACCACUAGAUGGCAGAAGGAGACCAUGAACUAUAUAUCCAGAUGGCACAGCAGGGACUGACAAACUAGGGGAUGAGCUUCUGUGACCAGAAGUCAGUUCCUAGACACCUACCUCAUCCAUUGAAGAUUUUUUACAGUCGUCAUCAUCAUCAUCGUCAUCACUCUCAGUAUCAGCUUCCCCUGUCAAAUUUUAAUAACAGAUCAUGAAGUAAAAAAACAUUUACAAGUUUGAAGCACAUGUUAACAGGUGCAUUACAAAAAAUUUCCUUGGAAAUUGGCAUAA